rnacentral:rRNA from 1 species
GAUGAACGCUGGCGGCGCGCCUAACACAUGCAAGCCGAACGAUUAAAGCACCUUCGGGUGUGUAUAAAGUGGCGAACGGCUGAGUAACACGUGGGCAACCUGCCUUUUACUUUGGGAUAGCCUCGGGAAACCGAGGAUAAUACCGAAUACUUUGUAUGUAUCGCAUGGUAUAUACAAGAAAGCUUUUGCGGUAAAAGAUGGGCCCGCGGCCUGUUAGCUUGUUGGUGAGGUAACGGCUCACCAAGGCAAUGAUGGGUAGCCGGGUUGAGAGACCGACCGGCCAGAUUGGGACUGAGACACGGCCCAGACUCCUACGGGAGGCAGCAGUGGGGAAUCUUGCGCAAUGGGGGAAACCCUGACGCAGCGACGCCGCGUGCGGGAUGAAGGCCUUCGGGUUGUAAACCGCUUUCAGCAGGGACGAGGCCUUAUGGUGACGGUACCUGCAGAAGAAGCUCCGGCUAAAUACGUGCCAGCAGCCGCGGUAAUACGUAUGGAGCAAGCGUUAUCCGGAUUCAUUGGGCGUAAAGCGCUCGUAGGCGGUCUGUUAGGUCGGCAAGUUAAAUCCGGGGGCUCAACCCCCGUCCGCUUCCGAUACCGGCAGACUUGAGUUUGGUAGGGGAAGGUGGAAUUCCUAGUGUAGCGGUGGAAUGCGCAGAUAUUAGGAAGAACACCGGUGGCGAAGGCGGCCUUCUGGGCCAUAACUGACGCUGAGGAGCGAAAGCUAGGGGAGCGAACAGG